rnacentral:rRNA from 1 species
GACGAACGCUGGCGGCGUGCCUAAUACAUGCAAGUUGAGCGCUGAAGGUUGGUACUUGUACCAACUGGAUGAGCAGCGAACGGGUGAGUAACGCGCGGGGAAUCUGCCUUUGAGCGGGGGACAACAUUUGGAAACGAAUGCUAAUACCGCAUAAAAACUUUAAACACAAGUUUUAAGUUUGAAAGAUGCAAUUGCAUCACUCAAAGAUGAUCCCGCGUUGUAUUAGCUAGUUGGUGAGGUAAAGGCUCACCAAGGCGAUGAUACAUAGCCGACCUGAGAGGGUGAUCGGCCACAUUGGGACUGAGACACGGCCCAAACUCCUACGGGAGGCAGCAGUAGGGAAUCUUCGGCAAUGGACGAAAGUCUGACCGAGCAACGCCGCGUGAGUGAAGAAGGUUUUCGGAUCGUAAAACUCUGUUGGUAGAGAAGAACGUUGGUGAGAGUGGAAAGCUCAUCAAGUGACGGUAACUACACAGAAAGGGACGGCUAACUACGUG